rnacentral:misc_RNA from 1 species
GUAGCAUUCCUCAACGACAAUAGCCGACGGGGCACGCGAAUGCCACGACGGGCGUCGUUCGAUCGAGGCGAAUAUCGCUAGUUACGGGCAAAGACGAGUGGUUAACCCGGCACCCGCACGCGUAUUCCGCAUCCGAGAGUUCAAGCGAGAAUUCAUGGGCCACGACGACAACGUUUGCGAACCGCGUCGGGUGGGACACAAAUGACGCUUCGCGGUUCACCCGAUGCCGUACCCGGAAAAAACGGGCCAACACUAGGCGAAAGACGGACGAUUCGACAACCCAAUUCCGUUAAGUAGGUAUGCAACACAGGAAACCAACGCAAUCGUGAGGCCAAGGCUAGCGUCGCGCUUGUGCCAACAAUUGAGGAGGACCGCACGACCGGACGUCGCUGCCCCGAGCAGCGAUCCAACCGAAACAUGCCAUCCA